GCGUGUAGGAAGAAGGCCCUUGGGUUGUAAACUACUGUCAUAGGGGAAGAACGUUGCGGGGUGAACAAUCCCGUAAUUUGACGGUACCCUGAGAGGAAGCACCGGCUAACUCCGUGCCAGCAGCCGCGGUAAUACGGAGGGUGCAAGCGUUGUUCGGAUUUACUGGGCGUAAAGUGUGUCUAGGCGGGAAAGUAUGUCAGGUGUGAAAGACCCGGGCCCAACCCGGGAAUUGCGCCUGAAACUGCUUUUCUUGAGUUAUGGAGAGGUGAGCAGAAUACCUAGUGUAGCAGUGAAAUGCGU
rnacentral:rRNA from 1 species